rnacentral:misc_RNA from 1 species
GAUGAAGAACGCAGUGAAAUGCGAUAAGUAGUGUGAAUUGCAGAAUUCAGUGAAUCAUCGAAUCUUUGAACGCACAUUGCGCCCCUUGGUAUUCCAUGGGGCAUGCCUGUUCGAGCGUCAUUAAAUAACCCUCAAGCAUAGCUUGGUGUUGGGCUUUUUUACGUCCUUGACUGGGAUGGGCCUAAAAAUUAGUGGCGAUGGCUUUUUUACUUUCAAGCGUAGUAAAUCUCGUCUUGCUAAAGAGGAAAAAGAUUUUUUUUCUGCCAAAAAUUUUAACAUUUAAAGUUGACCUCGGAUCAGGUAGGAUUACCCGCUGAACUUAAGCAUAUCAAUAAGCGGAGGA